AUUUCACUCCACCUUAUCUCCCCUCUUUGGCCGGCUCACUCUUCCUUUCUUUUCAUUUUUUUUUUCUCUCAUACACUCUUCUACUCUUACAUCCUCUCUCACCGACACUCCACACCACCACCAUUUCCACCAUCAUUUUCUGGCAAGAUCACCAAAAAAUUCUUGUGAACCCAUAAACACCUUCACAUCCUUUUUUUGAGGUUCUAGCUAAUCUCCUUGGAGCUUGGAGAAUUAGGCUUUUGUAGUUGCGAGGUCAAUACCCUUUCACUUUGGAUGACGCGUUCUUCCCUGCUGCCUAUAGGGGGAAGAGAUUCUUUGAUUAUGUGUGGGUGAGGCUGCUAUCCAUGGGGCCAAAAGACCACAUGCAAGAGAGGUCUUAUUUGACACGCUCUUUCUGCUGCCCAUGGGGGGAGAGAAAAACCUUGAGGGUAUGGGUGAGGCUGCUGUCCAUGGGGCCAAGAGUCUGCAUACCAGAGAGGACAAUAUCAUGCCAGUUGUGAAUGAGUGGAUCCCCUGACUAGUAUAUGUGGUAUUGUGGUAUAUUUGUGAUAAUUUACCUUACAUUAGAUAUUAUGGCUUUGGAAAUUAUAUUGUUGGUGCUCACAGAUUCUAGUAUAUAGUUUCAAGGUAUUUACUUUGAGAAACUUUGUGUUUUAUUAUUCAAUCAUUCUUGCAAUAUCAUAUUACUAUUAUUGAAAA